AAACUCAAUGGCUGCAGUAACCAUAACUGUAAAAAUGUAGCACAAUCAAUCGUCACUUAAUUAGUGAAUAGUAUGAAUGGCUGUACGAAAAUCUCACUGUCUCAUAGUAUAAAUAACACAAAAAUUAAAAUAACAGUCAAGAUGUGUUUAAAAUUGUAAGACGAGAAGACCCUAUAAAGCUUAACUAUUAAGUUCUAAUUAUAUAAAUAAUUGGAAAAAGAGAUAGUUUCAUUGGGGCGAUGGUUUUUAAAAAUAAACAAAAACACAACAAACAUAAUUUUAUGAAAAAUAUUUACUGUACAACCCAUUGGUUUAACAGUUACAAAGUAGGUUAAUAAGACCCAUUAAUUCUUAAAAAAAAGAACUAACGACUAAUAAAUAAAAGCUACUUUAGGGAUAACAGAAUAAUUUUAUUCAGAAGCCCAAAUUCAAAAUAAAGUUUAUUACCUCGAUGUUGAAUUGAGAUACCCCAGGGGUGCAAA
rnacentral:rRNA from 1 species